GGAUUUUGGGGUGUGCAGGGCACACAAUGACCCCUCCUCUAUUUCCAUUCCAGGAUUCAAUCCCGUUCUGCCCCCGGGGGUCCCAGAUGGGGUGAGCCCCUUCCCCCAUGGGACAGAGCCGGGGGUCCCGAGGCCAGCUUGUGACUUUGGGGGGCACGAGGUGACUUCAACCUAGGACACACCUGAAGCCAGGUGCCGCAGGUGUCGGGGGGCUCAGGUGAGUCCGGCGCUUUUGGGGGGGCUUUUUU